AACGUCACACACUUCAUAGCGCUCCUAGGACUUGAACUUAGUCUGGUUUGCCUUCCAAGUCCAGAUUCUCCAAAACAUUUUUUCUUUUUCUUUUAACUUACUAAAUGGUGAAGUGGCCAGAUAAGCAGCCUACAGAUAAGUGAGGUCUACAAUUCAUCACACACCGAUAAUGCUGACAUAUAACAGUUUCCGUAUCUUUACAAAGGCAAUAAAUGGAUGAAGAGAUGUGAUGAGGAAACCACGCUCUCUAUAUGCAUGCAAGCUAUUUGGAAGCUCUAAUAAAAACUUGGGAAACAAAA
ensembl:lncRNA novel transcript